UGCGGAGAGGGGCGGAGACGGGAGGCGCGGCAGGUUGUCUUUUUGAGUAUGGGGAGCAGUGGCUUGGGCUGCCCACGCUCGCUCGCACGGGGCUCCGCGCCUUUGGACGCGGAGCUGUAGGCAGAGGCGGCCGCGCUGGGCUCCCUUCCUAGUGCGCCUGCGGCUGCGUAUCGCCCCGAGGAUUGCUGCAGUGGCCACACUCUCCCCUCCCCGCCCGCUCCGUCUGUUCAAUGAAAACCCGCGCAAACGCAAGGUCUUUGCUCGAGCAAACUUGCCGACUAGCGAGGAAGGCGAGCUGCAAAGCCGCUGGAGUUUGAAUUAGGAACCCAGUGAAGUUUGAAAAUAAUCUUUGGAGGGUCGUAUUUAGAAAAGCAGGACAGCUGCAAAUCACAGUUAAAGCUAGAGCAGGUGUCAUGGCCCGGCCCCAGGCUACCUUCUCCUUAACUUACAACGGGCUCAGUCCUAGAUGGAUUGAGCUCCUCUGGACCAGGAUAUUCAGCCCUGCCUGAGACUUUCAGAGCUGUUUUUCCUAUGUUCCAGCACAAAUUCAGCAUGGAGGUACAACUGGGAUGCUGUGGCAAGAAGUCCAUGAUCCUGGGAGGCAGCAGCGAUGAUAUCGGAAUAUGGGGUGCCAGACGUUAUCACCGUGAGCUUGUUAAUAAAUGCCUAAUAUUGAUGAGCCUGU